rnacentral:rRNA from 1 species
AUUGAACGCUGGCGGAAUGCUUUACACAUGCAAGUCGAGCGGCAGCACGGGGGCAACCCUGGUGGCGAGCGGCGAACGGGUGAGUAAUACAUCGGAACAUGCCCAGUCGUGGGGGAUAACACUUCGAAAGAAGUGCUAAUACCGCAUACGUCCUGAGGGAGAAAGCGGGGGAUCUUCGGACCUCGCGCGAUUGGAGUGGCCGAUGUCAGAUUAGCUAGUUGGUGGGGUAAAGGCCUACCAAGGCAACGAUCUGUAGCUGGUCUGAGAGGAUGAUCAGCCACACUGGGACUGAGACACGGCCCAGACUCCUACGGGAGGCAGCAGUGGGGAAUUUUGGACAAUGGGGGCAACCCUGAUCCAGCCAUUCCGCGUGAGUGAAGAAGGCCUUCGGGUUGUAGAGCUCUUUCGGCAGGAACGAAACGGCGAGCUCUAACAUAGCUUGCUAAUGACGGUACCUGAAGAAGAAGCACCGGCUAACUACGUGCCAGCCGCCGCUGUAAUAC